UGGGGAAUUUUGGACAAUGGGCGCAAGCCUGAUCCAGCCAUGCCGCGUGCGGGAAGAAGGCCUUCGGGUUGUAAACCGCUUUUGUCAGGGAAGAAAUCUUCUGAGUUAAUACCUCGGGAGGAUGACGGUACCUGAAGAAUAAGCACCGGCUAACUACGUGCCAGCAGCCGCGGUAAUACGUAGGGUGCAAGCGUUAAUCGGAAUUACUGGGCGUAAAGCGUGCGCAGGCGGUUUUGUAAGACAGAGGUGAAAUCCCCGGGCUCAACCUGGGAACUGCCUUUGUGACUGCAAGGCUUGAGUGCGGCAGAGGGGGGAUGGAAUUCCGCGUGUAGCAGUGAAAUGCGUAGAUAUGCGGAGGAAACACCGAUGGCGAAGGCAAUCCCCUGGGCCUGCACUGACGCUCAUGCACGAAAGCGUGGGGAGCAAACAGGAUUAGAUACCCUGGUAGUCC
rnacentral:rRNA from 1 species